rnacentral:rRNA from 2 species
UCACACCCGUUCCCAUCCCGAACACGGUAGUUAAGCUUCUCUGCGCCAAUGGUAGUUGGGGGCUUCCCCCUGCGAGAGUAGGUCGCUGCCGGGC